AAGGGAGACCUAAUUCGGGUAUGGGACGAAAAAAAAGUAGUCCCAACCAAGAAUCAAUCCCAAAAGGUCGGAGCGAGGCAUGAGGCUUUCAAACUAGGUUCUGGGUUCAAACAAGACCUGAAUCAGGAACAAGGGCUAUUAGCUCAGGUGGUUAGAGCGCACCCCUGAUAAGGGUGAGGUCCCUGGUUCGAGUCCAGGAUGGCCCACCUGUACAGGUGGAAAAAAGAAAAAAAGCGAGGAAUCAGCACCUGAUCUUACUUAUAUAGUAAGAGAGAAUGCUGGCUCUGAGUAAAGAGUCCAGAGGAACCUUGAAAACUGCAUAGAGCUAGGUGAAAAAGCCAAAAAAGAAGACCGCAAGGUCAAGCUAAUAAGGGCUAACGGUGGAUACCUAGGCAC
rnacentral:tRNA from 1 species